rnacentral:lncRNA from 1 species
UCCUCUUUUCUCUUUAAAGAUAAUAGACCUCCGAUUACACUUGCAGCCAAUGGUAGACCGUCACAUCUUUUGAUUACUCUCUCUUUAAUUGCUUUUAGUUCAUCAGGUUCUUCUUCCCUUCCAACUACUUUUUCUUUUAGGAUAGACCAGCAAAGAUCAUCAGGUAGCCUUCCUAAGGCAUAGGCUUCAUCAUCCAUCCUCAGAACUUUCAACACAAUAUCUGCCAGUUGACCAAUACGAGUAGUGACAAGACACCAGCUUCCAUCAGUUGGAUUGAGCCCCUUCAAGGUGGUGAAAAAGUCAUCCCACAAUGCCUGAUUAUCAUCCCACACAUCAUCAAGGACAAGGAAAUAUCUUUUUCCCUCUAGUUGAUUCUGAAUUUUUUCAACGAUGACAUUCCUAUCAUCCACUUCAACCUUUUCUCCCGUCAAUUGCACUAGUAUGAGUUUGAAAAGUUCCACUACUGGAACUUUUUUUGAUACGCAAACCCACAACUUUUUCUGAAAGUGCCCAUCAAUUUGGUGAUUGUUGUAUAUCGAUUUAGCCAAAGUUGUUUUGCCUAGACCUCCCAUACCAGUUAUGGGAAGACAAGAGACAACCUUCUCAGAUGGGCUCAACAGCAUCUUCACUAUCUUUGAUUCAUCAUCGGCUCUUCCAGUCAUUGGAACAGCAACCGAGUCGGUCUGCCGAUUUCUUCUGUCUCCAGCAUCAGCAGCAGCAGGGAGGGCAGCUGUCAUCACUAACCUACUGACCAGCUCCAAUCUGUUGGCUUCUUCAUUUAUCUUAUUCAACUCAAGGUUGAUGUCCCUGACCUUAGAAGCCAUUCUCCAACGAAAAGCAAGAUUAAUGUUAGAGAAGGAGAAGAAGCAGCAUACCUUGAGCUUGUGUCGGUUUCGGGACUCCACCUGUUGACGAAGGGAUUCAUAGUGGAGCUCAUCCAACACAUUGUCCGCCUCAUAAGCCACCUCCUCGAGACUCUUCAACCAUUCUUGCACUACCCGUCCUGGUUUUGUUGUCUUUCCUCAGCAUCAGCCAAGAAAGCAUUGAUCCAGCGGAGAGUACGUGUCAUGCUGGCAACAUCCUUCUUGAACCCAACUAACAUACCAAUCCUGUCAGUGGCAAGAGAUACUGCCGUCUCCAAGGCAACCUGAAUAGUGGCACUGAUAACAGGGUCGGCCAUUUCUUCUUCCGUGGAUAUACAGCUCUGAGAUCAAGAUGGUUUUUUUUUUUGAUGGAAGUGUUUUUGCAGCGAGGAACUGGUAAUCUUAUCUAGGCUAGUAUAAUUGGUUAUGAAGAAAGGAGCAUUAAUAAUUAUUGCGCGUAGACGUGGAGUUCUUCUCUGACAAAUUUGGAAGCUUUUGCAUUGGCAUGUUUACAGAGUAACUUUCUCAAUAACCAUUGUUUUUGUCCACUUACAUGCAUGUCAUUAUUGUUAAUCCUUGGAAAAUGAAUUUAUGACAUACAGUAAUUUGGUCUGAAUUUUGUUCGGUUUUGGGAAGCGACCACACUGGGAAGCAAUAAUAAUAAAUGUUCUCUGUUUUCGCACUAGCUAUGAUGCAUUUUGCUUCUUGGCUUAGUAAUUAGGCUUGAGAUUUUAAAUUACCUUUUGUACUUUAGCGUUUUCAAGUACAUAACAUGAUCGGUAUGAAAUCCCAACUUAUGUUUCCUUGUUGCAAAUCUUGCCAAAACUUUAUAAGAAAUGUCUUAUCAAUUUCUUUGAUACCUGAAACACUAGAAAUUUCUCAUUCCUUAUGCGUAUUCUUGUUUAAUUAUUUAAUUUGGUUCCUGAAACACAAGAAGUUAGUAAAGAAUUUCGAUCCAAUUUGGUGCAACGUUUCUUUGACAAACUGAAUCGGAUGCUCCUGCAAUGAAAGUGUUUUUUUUUAUAGCAACAAUAACUUUCCUACAACCUAAUCUAAUCUAUUCUAUAGAGAAAGGGAGCCUAAUCUAUUUUAUUCUACAUGCCAGAGAGCCUAAAAAGACUAUAUAAGUGAGUUGGUAUACAGACCUAAUCCUAAUUAUAUCGUAUUUUGACGCUUUUUUUAAUUUUUUUUCAUUACGUAGAGUUCGAACUCCACAUUUACAAUCCAAAAAAAAAUUAAUCUCUUUUUUGUUACCGCUGAGCCAAAUCUCCCUUGUUUGUAGCAUAGUAGUUGCCGGGAUUCUUCAUCUGCCUCUGAUCCACAUGCCACUUGCAUGGGGGGCCAUCGGAUGUGGAAAAUUCCACCCAAGAAGGAAAAGAAACCGAGUUGAAUGAUGAAGAAAAGAAAAUGGCAAUCAUCAUUGAGACUCUAAUAAAUCUCACUCCUCAGUUCCUGGGACGUGAACGUACAAUUAAUAAUUCCAUCUAAAUUGCUGAUCCUAGGUGGAUCAGAUUUGAAACAUAUUAAUCAUUUGGAGACUCCUUAUUUUGUUUGCUUUCUGCAGGGGAUUUGAAACACAUUAAUUUCUUUAAAAUCCUCCAAUUUCUUUAAAAUUCACAGACCCCCAAAGUUCUCCAUUUCCAUGCUAGCUAUAUAUUUUCUUCUUAGGCUAGUUCAGAAUAGCUAGAAAUUUACAGUGGAUGCUUUUGUCAGCUCUUUAACCACUGGUAGAAAGAAGUGCUGCAGUGGAUACCAUUAUUAAUUGCCAUGCAGAAGUUUGCAUGCCAUUAUUGACUUGGCCUUUAUUGAUCAAUGCUUAGCUGGGUAUUUUACCUUUUUCUGAUUGAAAGCUGUCUGGGGCCUUUGGUCGUGGAAAAUAUCUCAAUGGUUUGACCCAAGACUGAGCCCCGCCAAAAAAAAAAAAAGAAAAAAAACUAUGUUCAACGAUAAAAAUGUAAAGGAGAAAGAGGAAAUGACAGCCAUAGCUGGUGACUUUGCAACAUUAAUUGCCUCAGUCAUUAAUCCUUGAGAAAUAGACUAAAAACGUUAUUUUGUGGGGGAAAAACUUUAAUAAAAAAUAAUCCUUGGUUCACUUAUCAAAAACAUGAAGUGGAGUUAGCAAUCAGGUUUGGCAUAUAGCGACAUAAUUGGGCAAUGGUUGGGUGCUUUCUUAGCUUUUACACUUGUGAAAUUGCCAAAAUAAUCACUCAUAAUUCCACAAGCUUUCUAGCACUUUAAAAUUUCAGACAUUUUGUUUCAAAAUGUCUUGUUUAUGUAUAGCAUGCAAAAUUUAAGUGUGAAAGUUUAAGGAGUUUCUUUAUUACCAAUUUUUUUUUGGAGUGCAAUAUACAAUCAACUGAAGUUAGAAGUGAAAUAGACCUUUAGCUCACACUAUGAUUAUACACUUUGACUGAAUUGGGAUGUUUUGGGAAGGGGAAAUGAGCAUGUUCUUGUGGAUUUCAAUUUUUACAAUUGAAUUAUUUGCCUAUGAUAUGUUCACAAGUUUAAUUUAAAUCGAGUUGUGAUAAUAGAAGAUUGUCGAAAGAAGACUUCAAAAGGUGGAAAUUGAUGGGGAAUAAACUGGUUAUUUGGAUACUUGAGUUUUCCCCAUUUUUGUAUCCGAUUCUUUUAUAAUUAAUUUUUCUCGUCCUAAAAAAUUUAUCUUUUUAGCUAAAUUUGAAUUAUUUUUUCUUAUGGUUCUUCUUUCUUCUAACAAUAUGAUAAAUUUGUUUAAUUUUUUUUAUCCCUAUGGACUAACUUAGUGUCAAAAAACUUUAACUAUUAACUGAUAGAUUUAUUAAUAUUGCUAGAAAUUGAAUAUUUGUUUAUGCAUAAAUAAAUUGCUAAAUUUUUCGUCCUUAAUUAAGUAGGAAUAUGUAACUAUGUUUAUGGUUAAUAUAAAAAUUGCAAUAAUGUAAAAACUAUACAUACACAAAAGGGUAGAGAGAAGAGCAUUGAUAUUUGGUCGCUUAAAAGUGCAGAGUUAUUCUUAACUUUGAUGCCUUCCUUUGCAAUGGAAAUAUAUAUUCCUUGCAUGGCAUCUUCGCUUUAAGUUUCUUGGAUGCUUUGAAAUGCAGAGUUAUUCUUGGCUUUGAUGCCUUCCUUCGCAAUGGAAAUAUAUAUUCCUUGCUCGGCAUCUUCACUUUAAAUUUCUUGGAUGCUUUGAAAUGGAAAUUCCUGGCAUGGGAUUUUCACUUUAACUUUCUUGCUGGGGCGGGGCCUUCAUCCUUACAUUUGCUGUUUGCUUAACAUAUAUUUCAUUCAUUCGUUAAUCCCUGAAAGAUGAACUAAUUAGAACAUAAUUUGGUCUUAACGCACACCUUAAUCUGUUAGCUAGAGACGUAUAUUAAGUGAAUAGUCAAUACAAAAAUCUAUUAGGCUUCUAAUUAUUUGUUAAUUCAAAUUUUGAUAUUGUUGAUGUUGAGCAUCGAGCCUUUUCAACUUUGCAUAAUCAAUGAGUACCCCACAUUCUGAACUGUGGUGAAUGAAGUUUGGCAAAGAAUAACUUCAAAUGUGGAUUUGCUUCAAACGUUAUAUUCUGAAAUGAAGUUCGGCAAAUAUAGCACCUGUGGAGCUCCAGUCCUUAAAGUUUUGACAAAAACAAAUUUAGUCCUCAAGCACGAUUGUAGUCCCUAAAGUUUCUAUAAGAACAACUCUGGUCUCUAACGUAUCCAAUAUAAAGUAGAUUUAGCAUAACUGAAUAUUUUUACAUUAUUGACAGAAUUUAUUCAUGUUUCCAUUAUAUUAAAUAUAAAAAAAAAAGAAAAAAUAGUGGCUAACUCUAAACAACAGUAUUAAGGACAAACAACUCAUUAGCUAACUAAUUAACUGGUAAAAAUUUGUUAAAAGUACAAAAUUCAAAUUAGUUGAAUCACUUAAUUCAUCAAUUUAAAACUUACUUUUUCUCUCUAUCCCUACCAACCCUAAGAAACGAAAAAAAGCCAUUGAAUUGCAUCUUUGCUUACAAAAUUAAUUUAAUGUACACAUGACUGAACGUUACUAAAUUCCCAUAGUAAUUAAAAAAAAGUUAGUCGAUUAUCCUAAAUUUGCUUAAAAUUGGAAACAUUUUGGGACAAAAAUUAUUUUUGAUCAAACUUUUAGAAGUAAAAUAGUUCAAGUGCCAAAAAUUGAGGACCAUACUUGUUUUUGCUAAAACUUUAGAACUAAAACCGUGCAAGUGCAAAACACUAAGGACAAAAACUACAUUUUUUCCAAAAGUUAAAAGAAACUUCAAAAAACUAGAAAAAAAUAUUAGCAAUCGGCGAGGUGUGAGAUUUAAGAAACCAGAGUUUUGAAUUUAGAACUUCUACUGUUUAUAUAGUUUCAAAUACAAAAAAUUUGCUUUUUAUGCUAUCUAAAAGAAUUUGUAAUGGAACUUGAUGAGUUUAAAUGCUUUCGCUACAGCACCAUUUUGAUUGCAUUGUAUUAAUUCAUUUACUCAUAAUUGUAUGUUGUACAAUGAUAAAUAAUGUUUCUUGAUUUGAUUGAAGCAACUAUUAUCCAUAGUUCAAACGAGUCAAUUAAGUAGAAAUGCUAUAUUGGAUACUUAUAAAGUAAACAUUGAAAAAUAUCAUUAAGCAGUUUCUACCUAUAGUUUGCAAUUCGAAUUCAUAUGAGGAAUUUCUUCUGAUUUUAGUUACCAUUUUUCUAAAAUUUCAAAUUUAGAAAAUAUUAUUUGCACCAAUUUUUUAUAAUCAAGAUAGUUUCAAUUCAGAUCUUUAACAAUUAUGCAGAUUUGAACUUAUUUAUGAGAUUAUAAAGAAAUGCCCCUAGCAAAAACACCAAAUCUGAAUAGUUUCUACAAAACUUUGAAAAAGACCACUUAAGUUUCUUAUCUAUCUAUCACUUUUGGGCAUUAUUAUCUCUGUAAGAAACAUGUGAUUAAGUCGUAUUAUGCCCACCUAAUUAUAUAAAUAGUUAGUCAAAAAUAAAAUUAUUUUAGUAUUGUCUCCUGAACCAGUCUCCGAAUUGAUGACUUUAGUACACUUUGACAUUAUUGAUUUUGCGACGUCGUGCACCAUAUCAUGCAUUUUAUAACACCUUCUCCAACCGUCUCUUAUUUCUUCCAGCAAAGAACUCUGCAAUAAAAUUUCCAAGUAAUACUCUCCAAUUUCCUCAUUGUUUUGUUCUUGAGAUCUACUUGAAGGAAGCCUUCUGCCAUCCAAAGUUCGAUUAGCAUAUCUCUUUUCAUCUCAGUAUCCUUAGGAAACAUAGAACAAUAUGCAAAACAUUUCUUAACGGCUGGUGAUGGUAAACAAUUAAAACUCAAUUUAAGUAUUUUCAUGACACUGUCUUCAUCUCCGCUCAAAUUUGAAAGCUUAUUCAUCAAAAUCAAUUCCGACUCCUCUUUUCCCUUCAUGCGCAAUAAACCUCCCAUUGCACUUGCAGCUAGCGGUAGGCCACCACAUUUUUUUAUAAUUUCCUUUUUCAUGACUUGCAAUUUUUCGGGAAUUUCUCCACCUGCAUUGGCUUUCUCUGUUAGGAUAAACCAACAAUCAUCAUCAGAUAGCUUUCCUAACACAUAAGGAUCAUGUGUGGCCACAAUGGAUGCAGUUUGUUGUUUGCGAGUUGUCACAACACACCAAUUUCCAUUAGUUGCAUUCAGGCCCCGUAACAAACGUAAAAAAUCAUCCCACAAGAUUUGGCUUUCAGUCCAGACGUCAUCAAGAACAAGAAGAUAUUUUUUCCCCACAAGUUGUUGUCUAAUUUCCUGGACAAUGACAUCCCUACUGGUUAUUUCAACAUUUCUUCUCGUGAGUGAUUCUAAAAUCAUUUUCAAAAGCCUUGUCACUUCAAAAUUGUCGGACACGCAAACCCAAAUUUUUUUCUCAAAAUGGCUAUCAACUUGGCUAUUGUUGUAUACAGAUUGAGCUAAAGUUGUCUUUCCCAAUCCGCCCAUCCCAAGGAUGGGAAUUACAGAAACGGCAUUUUCUGACAAGCUUAGCAAAAUCUCCACCAGCCUUGUUUCAUCCUUAGCUCUUCCUACAACAUAAUGGCCAGCUAUAGAAUCCGUCUCUCUAUUUAGAGUGACUUUAGCAGUUGUAGAAGGGGGGAAAGUUGCCCUUUGGAAUCUGAUCAGUCCAAAAUCAUUCGCUUCUUUAUUGAUCUUAUUCAACUUCUUGUUGAUGUCGCUGAUCUUAGAGGCCAUUCUCCAUCGGAAAACGAUAUUAAUGUCAGAGGACAGGAUGAAGGAGCGUACCUUGCCCACGAGUUGGCGAUGAAGAGCUUCAUAAUUCAGCUCGUCCAACAAAUUCUCAGCAUCAAACGCCACGGCUUCCAGCCUCUGGAGCCACAGUUGCACGGCCUGGUCGUGCGUUUGCUUUUCCUCAGCAUCAGCCAAGACAGCUUGUAUCAUGGCAACGGAUCCUCUCAGGGUCUCCAAAUCCUUCUUGAAUUGGAAUAACUUGCCAAUCCUUUCAUUGGCAAGGGCAAGUGUCUUCUCCAGUGCCACCUUUAUUGUGGAAGUAAUAAGUGCAUCAGCCAUUCUUUUUGUUCCUUGGGCGAGUCUUCAGAUCAAGAUACUCUUUUGCAGCGGUAGGUUUUAGCUGUAGCUAGAAGCAGAAAGGAACUGCUCUUUACUCAAACGGAAGUGACAAGACUUAUGAGGAUUUUUUGGUGCUGCACUUCUUUGACAAACUGGAUCGGAUGCUUUUGCAACGGAAGUUGCUUGGCAUUUUCAGUUGAAAACAUAGAGGUUGCUGGGAUUCUGCAUCUGCUUUUGAUCCACAUUCCACACGCUUGGGCCCCUGGUCGUGGAAAAUUCCACCCAAGAAGGACAAGAAACUGUGCUGAAAAAUGAAAGGUCCACAAUAAUUUUUUAUAAGAGAGAAAAAGCAAAAGAGAAUGACAAUCAUAAUUGAGACUCCGACAAUUAAACAUAGUAUUAAUUCCUUGGGGAUCAGAAUUAAAACAUAUACAAGUACACCUUAUUUUGUUGGCUUUCUGCAAAGGAAUACGCUAACACUAUGGCUUAAAAUCCUUGAAUUUAUUUACGGCCCAGAGACUUCAAAGUCCUGAACUUUUUUGCUUUUCCACAAAGUGUAGAAGUGUUGCAGCAGUACAUCUUUGAGAAACUGGGAUCCCUUUAAUUGAAAUAGAAGUUUGGUUGGCAAUUUCACUGGGCCUUGUUAAUCAAUGCUUAGCUGAGGUUUUCAUCUGUUUCUGAUUGAAGAACGCCAGCUGGGGCCUUCGGUUGUGGAAAAUACCUCAAAUUUGAAGUCGAAUCAGUAAGCAGACUUGGUAUGUAACGAUUUAAAUUGUCUAGCAACUGGAUGCUCUUCUUAGCUCUUUACAUUCGUGAAAUUGUCAAAAUAGUCCCUCGUAUUUCCAAAAGUUUUCUAGCUCUUUGAACUUACAAAGAAGGAAUUAAGAACUCACAUUUUGACGCAAAACGUCUUAUUCAUGUCCCAUAUACGAAAUUUAAGUGGCGAAAAUUUUGAGCAGUUUCUUUAUUAUAUAUUAUUUAUUUUUUGGCAUACAAUAUACAAUGGAUUGGAAUUAGAAGUGGAAUAGACCUUUUAUCUUACGCUAUAUUUAUACACUUUUGCUGAAUUUAGAUGUUUCAAAGGGAGGAAAUGAGCAUUUUUUGUUGAAUGCUUUGCUGAGGCGCCAACUCUUAAACUGCUGAGGCAUUCUAUUGUUUGUGCAAAAAAUUCUGAAAAGAAUGAUGGUCUGACCGAGAAGCACAAGAAAUUAUUGUCCUUAACAAUUAGAAUGUUAAAAAAAAGGGGAAAAUGACAAUGAUGUUGUGAUUUUGGGUACAUUAUUCAUCCCAUUUUUCUAGUUCUUGAGAAAUAAAAUAAAACCACAGGUGGUGACAAUCACAGGUAAAUGGGAAGGGAAAUGACAAUCACGGGUGGUGACAUGGGCAACAUUAAUCAUGUCAUCUGUUAAUCCAGAAAUAAAUUUGAAAAGAAUAAUAAAUUGGCCUUACAAACUAUCCUUGGGAAUUGGACUAACAGCAUAACUGGAGUAAUAUUUUGUUUGCUUAAAAACUUUUAGAAUUUGGUCAAAAUCAAGAGACCACAAAGUGACCGCAAAGUGAUCAUUUCAUACAUCACGUAAUUGGCCAGAAAUGGUUUGCAUUUUAACUUGUGAAAAUUGUUUAAAUAUUCUCUCAUACUUUAGGAAGUUUUCUAGCGCAUCAAUCAAACUUGAAAGAAGGAAUUUAACAAGUCAUAUCUUAGACCGUAACUCUUCUAUUAGCCUCCUAUCCUAUUUAUGAUUAGUUUUCACACUCAAUAUGUGUUGUUUACGUUUUAUGUGCAAUAUUUAAUGAAGUGCUGAAAAUUUUGAGGAGUUAGUUUAACUAAAGCACAAACUUAAAUGUUGGGAAGUUGCUUGGUUUUUAACUGAAAAAAUUUCCAAGGCCAAUGCUUGGAUUCUUUGUUUUUUUCUUAAUUUCAAUCGCUUGUUUGUGUUGUCAUAUCGAUUCCUUAAAACAUAUUAUUUGGAUGUUUUGAAAUGGCUGUGGUUGUUUGACAAAUUUGGAUGCUUUUGUAUUGGCAUUUUUACUUUAACUUUAUCAAUUAUUUUGAUUGUGGACAAUAUCUCAACGAUUGUUGCAUUUAUGAGGAGAAUCAUUUAUGUCCAAGAUAAAAUUGAACUCGGGAUCCCUUACUUACAACACCUCCUACCUUAUCACCCACACCCAACCCUCCCCAACUUGAAUAAUAAUUUGGUCUUAAUUACUGAUCCUCAAGAAUUAGAAUUAGAGCGCGCAUCUUAUUUUGUUUGGUUCCCUCAAGUGCCAGAGCAAGAAUUUUUAUCGGAUCAAUUAACGGUCGGUUUUUGGCUAAUGAAAAUAUUCUAAAUAAGAUUGUGAAAUCAAUUAAUUUCAUAUACAAUCCAAAUAAGAUUAUGAACUCCUUAUUUGUUUAAUUAAUUUCAUAUGCUAAUGAUUGUAACUCGCCAAAUAAUUGACGGUGACUGUAAUAAAAUUUCUUUGUUAGGGGUCAAAGUUCUUCCUUUCCGCACUAACUGUGUUGCAUUCUGAUUCUCGGAUAAAUAAUUACGCUUUGUGACUUCAAAUUACAUAUUCAUUGACACAAAAAACACAUAAACUCUCCCUGAUUAUUAAUGAGUGACAAAUUUUAUUUGUAGAGCAUAUAGUCCACGUUCUACCAAUCUCAAACUCUCUAUAUUAUUUCUAGGUCCUAGACAAAUAUUUUUUUUUGUUUUUGAAAGAAAGAAUUUGAGUGAUUUCAACUCUAGUUAUCACUACAGUGAAACACGAUAGACUUUUGUAUUCAUUUAUUUAUUUUUUUAACAAAAAAAAGAGGUCCAACUAAGAAUCAGGCUAACUAACAAGAAAAAAGCAAUGUCAAUCGAUUUGAUUUUGGCCCAAGGAAAGUACAUAGCGGUUGAAUGUUCACUCAGUAAAAUGGUCAGAUCAUUGAGAAUCUGAAAGUAGAAGCAAUGACUCUAUUGCUUAAACCUGAAACAAUUUUCUGUGCUUAGACAUACUUUGGCAUAAUGCUUUCAUUUUUUUAUAUAAACUCAUUAUCUUCCCUUUUCUGGCAAAUCAGCAAUAAAACUCAACAUUUUCUCCGAGAGGCCUUUAGGCAUUGGCAAUUGUAGCACAAGCAAAGCAAUAAGAUGUUCAAUUCCAGCUAUACAUAUGGUAGCAAGAGUUUAUGAUCUGAAUCCGCAUAAAAAAUGAAUUGAGAUGCUAAUUUGAGACGAAUGAAUGUACUACUGGCCGCAUGUAAUGCCCUGAAUCGAAAAUGGCUACCACUUCAAUCCAUAGAAUCCACUAGCGUAAGGAGCAGAAAUAUGAUGAAGGAAACUGGACUGCAACAUGGACUAAUAAGAAUCAGAUAUGAUGAUUCUUGAUUGCUUCAGAAAAUCUUGUAUAUUUGAUUAUUUGACACAAGACGUCAAUAUGCUUCAAAUGAAAGAGUGAAUCCAACAAAUAAGGCAUGACAAGCUGUGAUUAAUGCCAUACAAACCUGAGUUUAUCUAUACGAAUUAUUCAGGAAGUUGCUGUUAGUUUCAUUGAAUUAACAGAGAAGAUAGUGAAGAGUGAAGAGUGAAGAGCAGAGCCAUUCCAAAAUGCCAAAGAGACAGAGAGAUUAUAAAGAUGAUCAACUAAUCAUAAUCAGCCACACGCCCUUCAAGAAGGGCAUCAUACAGGGAGGCAUGAAAAUAACAUUUAGUCCAACAUAACGACAUUCAACACGAAUAGCCAAAUAUCGGAGGUUUGAGAAAUGACAGCAAUUGUUGCAGUCAAGCAAUAGCAAUGAAAGGGGGGACUACACAUCCAAAAGAAGGCACAGCAAUAUGAUCAGUGUGGAACAAAAUUUUCAUUAUAAACUAAUUCAGAGCCAGCUACAACAUCACAGAAUUGCAGGCAAUAGACAUGAAACUUCCAAUACAAGGCCUUUGAUAGGUUGCAAUUCAUUCACUUAUUUUAUUAUUAAUUUCCCCUAUUACUUGACCUGAUGUGAAUUAAUUAUUAGAUUCUACUCACUUUUCGUAAUUUACAUUUAUUUCAGGGAGUAGAACGAAAAUAUAAUAACAGGUGCUAAUUUGGCAGGAAAAGAGUCCAGAUGAUAGAGCUUAUUCUAGGGCAUUUUUGGAACAACAAACGUGAGCCCUUGUUGGGCGAAUUGGGCCGAAGUCUUCACUUUCCUGCACAGGAGCCGCCGCAAGGAGUAUUCCUUUAUAUAGGAAAAUUAUGCAGGAAAAAGGGGGCUUCUUCUUCUGGUGCGGCGGACGCCGCACAGGAGCAAUAGGCUAAUUGGAAUAGGAGUUGCGCAGAGGAAGAGCAGUGACUCUCUUCUUAGUUUCUUUUGUCCUUUAGCUUAGUUUCUUUUGACUUUUCUUUCUUUUUAGCUUUUAGUAGUUCCUUGUCUUCCUUCGAAUGUUAGCCAAGAGUACAAGCAAUCAAUCAACUCAUGUAGCUUACUUUUCUUAUUGAUUUGAGCGAAUUGAAUUUGCCUAAUUCAUGGAUACGAAGGUCGCAGCUAUUGCCGCAAUUUCUGGUGGGUUUAGUUCAUCAAACAUGAACUAAUUUCGCCACUCUAGUCAAGAACAACGGGGAUUUGGUUCUACUAAAUUUGUGAGAUCGAAUUGGUUUUUAUAUAUUUCCAUUAUUCACUGGUAUUUGUCUAUCUUCUGCUUUAUGUUCAUAUGGUUGUUUUGUUAUUUGAUUAUCCAGGGCCCGGAUUCUAGAUUAAUUCAAUAACCUGAAGCCAAUUAGGGUAGUUAAAUCCAUAAUUGUUUAAUUAUUCUAAACUGGUGGUAACUGGCAUGAUUGGGUUUGUGUCAGGGAGAUAGACAGGCUAACUUAAAGAGACCCUCGUAGCGUGUUGAUUGGUUAGAAUUAGGCUCUUCUAAUUAUUCAUGCAAUUAGGGAAUUAAACUUCUAUGGUCGUACCUAGGGUUGUUUCCUGAUUAGAGAAAUAGUCAACGGUCGUACCUUGGCUAUCGACAAAUUGAGGAAGAGUUGGUUGUUUAUCGCAUGUAUGACAACUAUAACUAAUUUAUCAGAUAGUAACUGGAAUAAUCCUUGCAUCUGUGAUCGAAUUAAGUGAACCAUCUCCGAAGUUGUCUCUUGGCUAGAGUUCGUCCAUUAUUAUUUUUAUUGUGAUAAUUAGUUAUUUGAGUUGUAGUUAUUUUAUUUUAUUUAUUCAAGUAAUUUAGUUACUCUCAUUUUCAAAAACCCCCCAUAUCUGGAACUUGAGAAGAAAUUAAAUUAUCCCCAGUCCCUGUGGAUUCGACCCUGCUCACCGCUAUAUACAGAAUUUGUAUUUUAUUUGAGCAGGUAUUUAUUAUUGCACAGGUUCGGCACCUGUCAAUUUUUGGCGCCGUUGCCGAGGACUGGUGUCAGAUUAAUUUGUUUCUUUUCGAGUUCACCUUGUUUUCAUUUUUAAUUUAUUUUUUUUCCCUUUUUUUAUAUAUAGUUUAUGGCUGCUAACAUUCCAUAUUUUGAUGAUAGACUGGACUUUGUUCCUGAAUGGGGUUAUGAAACUCAUGUUUUUCCUAAUGAUCAAUGGGCUGUUGCAAAUUGUGGAACUUAUUUUGAUUCAGGUUAUUCAACUAACACAUGCCCCGCAUUUCAAGAUAAUCUAAGCGUUCCAAUUGAUACUUUUGGAGAUUUUCCACCCCAAUAUCAAACGUGGUAUGACCCUUAUUCAAACGGGUAUGAUCAAGGAUGGUGGGAUAAUUCCAAUUUUGAUUAUGCGACCGGGCCAAUGGAUUUUCAACAGCAAGAGUCUCAGCAAUCGUCCUCCGUGUCAGGUAUGUCUCUUGAAGAAAUGAUAGGUUUACUAAUUGCUAAUUCAAAUCGAUUUCAUCAGGAGACACAAGCGAGCCUAAAUCGAUUUCAUCAGAAGACACAAGCUGUCGCGACCUGGCGGAUCAACUGCGUCAAUUGACAGCCAGGAUAGAGCGAUUAGAGGCUCACCUUGAAGAAUUGCCCUCACAAACCAAUAUCAAUCUUGAGGAAGAUGAGAGUGCAAUUGUCCGGCCAAAUGACAUGGAACUGCAAGAGUUUCAAGAAAACGGAUUUAAAGAUGCAGUUGAAAAGGAAGCUGAAGUGCAAGAAAUGAGACUCCAGGAUCAACUCAUUCAAGUGAACGAUUCCAGUGAACAAUCUCCAAAUGCGGUGACAUCUUCUCCACUCCUUAAUCAAUAUUUUCCUGACUCCUAUUCUUCAACUCCUGUUACUGAAAUUGAUUUUAUUAUACCAGAAAAUUUAAUAUUUCAUGACAGGAAUAAGUUAAGAGUGGAGAUGGCAAAAUAUCUUGAACCAAUGAAUGUGUGUGAUGGAGGAGUGAGUAGAGAAUGCAGAUCAUUGUUGACUUGUUUAGCGCCAUUUACUAGUCCAUGGAAGCCCGUAACUCGUGUGCCAAGAAUUACUCCAUCUAUGAGGGUUACCAGGAUCACGUUGAAGAUGAACCAUUGAAGCGAGCCACAAGAUUCUAUCCUCCAUGAGCAAAACAUGAUAAUGUCUAGCCAAAGACAUUAAAGAAAGGCGCUCAUUGGGAGGCAACCCAAUUGUUUCUUUCAAUUGCUUAUUGGUUUAGUGACAUAGUUUAAAUCUGUUUUCCCUUUAAUUUGACUGAUUUUGGGUGUUGAUCUUCGUCUUUGCUGAUUUGUAAGUGACCUUCACCCAUGACGCGCCCGUGAUGAUGUGCAGGAAGCUCACGAUCAGGAAUUUCUGAACUUCUGGGAGCUCUCUUGCCCUCAUGACGUGCCCGCGUGAUGAUGUGCAGGAAGCUCACGAUCAGGAAUUUCUGAACUUCUGGGAGCUCUCUUGCCCUCAUGACGUGCCCGCGUGAUGAUGUGCAGGAAGCUCACGAUCAGGAAUUUCUGAACUUCUGGGAGCUCUCUUGCCCUCAUGACGUGCCCGCGUGGUGACGUGCAGAUAGCUCACGAGCAGAAACUUCUGGAGCUCUCUUGCCCGCAUGGCGUGCCCGCGUCACGUUCGCGGAAAGGUAAAAAAAAAAAAAAAAGAGAGAGAAAUUUUUUUCAAACCGUAGCUAGGUUUCUCAAUUAUCAAAAAAAAAAAAAAAAAAUUUCUCAAUUAUCAAGAAAAAACAAAAACAAAAACAAACAAAAAAAAAAGUUUUUUUCCUUCUUUCUUUUCUUUCUUUCCUUUCUUUUUCUUUCUUUCUCUUUUCUUUCUUUCUUCUCCUCUGUUCGCUGUGUCCGCCGCUCGUGCCCACCGCCAUCUCAACUCCACCGCGUGCCACCCCCUUCCUCAACUCAAUCGCGCGCCCCGCCGCCGCUCUCCGCUGCUCUCCACCAGAUCGCGCGCAGCCCGCGACCCCGGCGCGCCACUAAGCCGCGGCCCAGCCUCUGCGCCGCCGCUGCUAAAGCCCCACGCGACUCCCUCCGCAAGUGGCGACGAGCCCACAGGGACGUGCAGCAGCCUCUGUCCAGCAGCCAUGCUCUGCGCACGGACGCAGCCAUCCACCACCAACUUCAACGCCGCUUCUCUGUCUGCCGCCUGGGGUAGUCCCAGUGGAGGUAUUCGACACUUGCCCCCAAUUUCUCAGUGUUAGUCGGUGAUAUUUGGUAGUAGCUUAUGCAUAUUUGGGUGAUUUCCACCAGUGGUACUGGUUAGAUUAUUCUAGCUUGGAAUUGCUAAUUCUUUUGGGGUGGGUGAAGUUGUGCAUUUAAUUGGCCAUCUGGAGCCACUUGUUGCAAUUUUGGGGUGAUUGGAUGAUUCCUGUAGUUGAAUUGGGUGGAAUUUGUGGCAUUUGUGUUGCCUGUUGAAAUUGGACGAAUUUACUUCAAUUGUUGGGAGUGGUCUGUCCAUUGUUUCCAAUGCUGCUUCACGAGAUAUUCUAUUAUAAAUCUGGGGUCCCGCUGAUUGCUUUGUCCAUUAUACUUUUAGCCCUAUGUUGACUUUCUUUGGAGAUUCGGAAUUAUUCACUGGUUACUGGAUAAAUAUUGGGGCUUAUUGCUUGAAUUGUUAGGACUGUAGUAGCGCAAAUUUCUGGGUUGUUUGUUGAAUCGGAAGGGCAUUGUGACCCUGUAUCGCUUCUUGAAGUUGGUUAACUAAUUUUGGUUUACUGGGUGUGUUUAGUCUCUUGAUUUCACUUGCCUUCCGUAGUCGUUGCAAAUGAGUUCAUUUGCUGCCUUUGUUGGAGUAUCUGUUGCGAGUGUGGCAUUGUAUAGCUUCUACUGUUAGCUGAUCCAUUGGGGGCCAUAGGUAGCAUUUACUCUGCUCUGUUAUAUCUAUUUCAUUGAUUUUGGACUACGUUUUGCACCAGUGGUACUGGUUGGGGUAUUUUGAUUAGCAUUUGUUAUUUCCAAUUGGUUGGCUGCCUGAUUAAAAAGGAAAAACUUGUGAUUGUGUGGUUAUUGUCUACUUUCUAUACUACUAUUGCUGGAAUUGCCGCUUCUGAGUUGAAAAUUAACUAUCCACUUGGAGACUUUGUUGAGAUUUUGGGUGGACAGAGUUGUGCAUUUGCUGGUUGAAUUGAGUUAUGAUGUCUCAGAACUGGGGCAUGUACUUCACCACAUUGGUUUCCCUCCGCAGCUGCCAAAUACCCUUAGCCACUCGAGAGGGAAGUUUCUUUGUCCUCUUCACUUUAAUUGUUUUAUUCCCUCCAUUGAGGACAAUGUAGGAUCUAGGUGUGGGGGGGACAGCUAUGCUAGUUUCUUUGCUAGUUUCUUUUUCUAGUUCUUAGUUUUCAGAUAUUUUUCUUUUAUUUUUAGUCUGUUAUUUGUCUAGUUUUCGUUUACAUUUUGUCAUUUAUCUGUCUAGCUCUCCUAUGACUGCCAAAUUUGAUGUUGGAUUGUUGCCCCUAUUUCUACUUUUGCCAAGUUUUAAUAAUAAAAAUGUGUCGAGUUAAUGUGGUUGAAUCAAGAGCAUUCCUUUGGUGAAUAUCAGUGAUUAUGUGGCUCUUAUAAUUUUUGGUUAACUUUCCUAGACAUAGGGAAUGAUUAUUGGCAUUUUCAUGUGAAUUGGUCCGGUUAUUAACUUUAGUUCUCCAUGUUUGAACAUGAGGCUAGCUGAUGCAAGUUUUCUUUUGGUUCUUGUGUUAUAUUGAGUUUUUUUUUAUUUUUAGCUAUGAAUAAACUUGACUGUACUCCGCUAUUAGUUACUACUGAGUAACCGGGGAUCUGCACCUAAAAGUGUUGAUUCUAGCGUCAAAAGGUAGUAAUUCCUAUGAAUACGUGGUCACGUGGCGAUAGAAGCUGAGUAACCGGGCUCUUUCAUCUGGCCAAUGUUGGAGUUCGCGUCAAAAGGCUUAAAUGGCUAGCGACUAAGUCUUUUGUUACUAUUGAAAAAAAAAGAAAGAAUCAAAACAAAAAAAACAAAAAAAAGAAAAAAGAAAAAUCAAUCAAAACAAAAAAAAAAAAAAAAAAAAAAGUGAAGGUUGUGUUAGUCAGCUUGCCGAAUUAUGGAUUUAAUGUUGAGAUUUUGUUAAUAGUUGGACCACUUGCUGAUAAAUGUUGUGCGUCAUUCCUUUUUCUUAUAUUAGUUAACUUGAAAUUAGAGGAGUUUGUGGUUUAGAAGCUAACCGAAGUGAUAUUUCUUGGACUUGAUCAUUGGUGCUUGAUUAUUAUUUUUCUUGAUAUCUUGGCAAUUUGGUAGAUAGAGCAAUGGUCAUUAUCACAUUUUGGUAUCUGUUUACUAUUCUUAUGCUUGAGGACAACAUGGUUUAGGUGUGGGGGGAAUUGAUAGGUUGCAAUUCAUUCACUUAUUUUAUUAUUAAUUUCCCUAUUACUUGACCUGAUGUGAAUUAAUUAUUAGAUUCUACUCACUUUUCGUAAUUUACAUUUAUUUCAGGGAGUAGAACGAAAAUAUAAUAACAGGUGCUAAUUUGGCAGGAAAAGAGUCCAGAUGAUAGAGCUUAUUCUAGGGGCAUUUUUGGAACAACAAACGUGAGCCCUUGUUGGGCAAUUGGGCCGAAGUCUUCACUUUCCUGCACAGGAGCCGCCGCAAGGAGUAUUCCUUUAUAUAGGAAAAUUACGCAGGAAAAAGGGAGCUUCUUCUUCUGGUGCGGCGGACGCCGCACAGGAGCAAUAGGCUAAUUGGAAUAGGAGUUGCGCAGAGGAAGAGCAGUGACUCUCUUCUUAGUUUCUUUUGUCCUUUAGCUUAGUUUCUUUUGACUUUUCUUUCUUUUUAGCUUUUAGUAGUUCCUUGUCUUCCUUCGAAUGUUAGCCAAGAGUACAAGCAAUCAAUCAACUCCUGUAGCUUACUUUUCUUAUUGAUUUGAGCGAAUUGAAUUUGCCUAAUUCAUGGAUACGAAGGUCGCAGCUAUUGCCGCAAUUUCUGGUGGGUUUAGUUCAUCAAACAUGAACUAAUUUCACCACUCUAGUCAAGAACAACGGGGGAUUUGGUUCUACUAAAUUUGUGAGAUCGAAUUGUUUUUAUAUAUUUCCAUUAUUCACUGGUAUUUGUCUAUCUUUGCUUUAUGUUCAUAUGGUUGUUUUGUUAUUUGAUUAUCCAGGGCCCGGAUUCUAGAUUAAUUCAAUAACCUGAAGCCAAUUAGGGUAGUUAAAUCCGUAAUUGUUUAAUUAUUCUAAACUGGUGGUAACUGGCAUGAUUGGGUUUGUGUCAGGGAGAUAGACAGGCUAACUUAAAGAGACCCUCGUAGCGUGUUGAUUGGUUAGAAUUAGGCUCUUCUAAUUAUUCAUGCAAUUAGGGAAUUAAACUUCUAUGGUCGUACCUAGGGUUGUUUCCUGAUUAGAGAAAUAGUCAACGGUCGUACCUUGGCUAUCGACAAAUUGAGGAAGAGUUGGUUGUUUAUCGCAUGUAUGACAACUAUAACUAAUUUAUCAGAUAGUAACUGGAAUAAUCCUUGCAUCUGUGAUCGAAUUAAGUGAACCAUCUCCGAAGUUGUCUCUUGGCUAGAGUUCGUCCAUUAUUAUUUUUAUUGUGAUAAUUAGUUAUUUGAGUUGUAGUUAUUUUAUUUUAUUUAUUCCAAGUAAUUUAGUUACUCUCAUUUUUAAAAACCCCCCAUAUCUGGAACUUGAGAAGAAAUUAAAUUAUCCCCAGUCCCUGUGGAUUCGACCCUGCUCACCGCUAUAUACAGAAUUUGUAUUUUAUUUGAGCAGGUAUUUAUUAUUGCACAGGUUCGGCACCUGUCAGCCUUGCUCGUAAACUCCCAAUGACUAGGCUAAUUUGCAAGAAAUUCCUGGGUUGAAUGAUAUUUUUAUAUUAUUAUUUUUCGAAUUGUCAUUUCCUCUACUUGUUUAUUUAUAUAUUAUAAAUUCACAUGAAAAAAGUAGAUAUCCAAAACAUUCUACAGGAGGAAAAUAGCCCCUCCCCCCCCUUUUGUGGAGAAAUAAGUUCAUCUGAAAUUUUUGUGCAACAAACAGAUUCCCUUCCUUCUUUCUUUCUGAGAAGUUAGUUUUUAUUACUUUUAGGUAACUAGUUAAAAUAUUACCACUACAUUCCGUACUGAUACAGAUAUGAGAUGAUUUACUUAUAUUGGCCAUCAAAGUCUUAGAGGCAUAGAAAGGUAGAAAUGCUUUAAUUGUAACUACAAUGAAAAUGAUUUGAGGCCAAGAUGUGUAAGAUCCAUGUCACAUUAUUGCUUCAUGGAACAAUAUUGACGUAAAAGGAGACAAGUUCGCAUAGAAGUAAUUUUGCAGAUAGAUGCUAUGUAAAAUGUCAGCUUGAUGAAGUAAGGUUGACGUUAUAUGUUCCUAUAUAAUCCUGUUCAAUUGAUUUCCAUAAUUUCAUCUCUCCACCGUUCCCAUCCACCAAGUGGGAUCCUUUCUUGAAUAAAAAUUGGUGCCUUAGCAAUUCAGUUUUCUAAAUUGCUCUCAAAUUAACACAUAUAGAAGGGCUCAACUGAUUCUUUGUGCUCUGAGUCCUGUCUGAGCUUUACAGAUACAAGGAGCAAUGGAAAAGUAUCAUGUAGUCAACUGCAGAACACUGAGAAAAAAUAUGUUGCCUGUUAUAGAGCUAAGAUACAACUUCAAGAAGGAUGCAAGCACCUAUCAGGGUUCAGCUAAUCCACAUCUUUCUGCUGCAAAAUACUGGCUACUUUGAACUACAAGCAGCACGGAAGAUAUGGCAAAUUGAGUUCCAAAAGAGGUAAAAGAACACCUCAUCAACAUGUCUACAAAUUGCUGAAUGGUUGGACAGUUUAAAAUCACCAGCCGACAAGGAAGAUCUCCGGCUUUAGCCAUCCAAGGCAGAGAGCAAAAGAGAAUUCCAUCCUGGAUGUUUUCAUCUGAUCUGAUUGAAACAGGAUCUGGUUCAGCAAGGGAUCAUACGACUUUUAAUAAUGUACCAAGGAUAGUAAGAGCUAUGAAGGUUUUGAACUUAAAAUCACUGCAAAACACAAAAACUCAAGAAACUCGGGACAACAUGUAGUCAAGAAUAAGGCCAACACAUAGUUGCAUGACAUUUUUGUUGUAUUUGAAACACUAAAAAAAGAACUUACCAUGAAGAAAGGAGCAACCAGCAAGUAUAGAAGGUGGGAUGAGCUUAAUAGCCUUCAUCACAGCGGAUGAAACAAUUGCAGCAAGUAGCAGCGAGCAGCAAGUAUGCUUGACAGUCUUGACUAACUACGCCAGAGUCCAUGCAGCUUUAUUGCAUGAACAGACAUCUUCUGUGGCUGCUCCAAAAAACUUCUACAUUAGGAGAAGAUUUCUCAAGUUUUAGUUGUCAUAUAAUCAGAAUCAAAGUAUUUAAAAGUAAAAAUUGAAUAGUAAAACAAGAGUAGUAUAUCUGACCUCACCGGACUCUUAGAACCAAAAAGUAGUUUGACAACCAACAGCUUUGGAAACUCCUGGAGUCUUUUUGGCUAGAAAAUCACAACCAAGGAAAAGUGAGACAGAAACCCAUCAUCUACGAGAUUAUCGAACAAAUCACUAAUCAAAUGGUUCAAGAAGCUUGAUAAAUGCGCCUUCAAGAGGUGAUUAAACUUUGGAGCAACUAUUUACUCCCACUAGAAUCAUAAGUUAGGGAGCUGAUCACUUUAGCAAUCACAUCUUACAUCCACAAAAGCAUAUAUAUAAAAUCAACAAAACGAAACUCCUAGUGCUUAUUUCAUAUUGAUGGGUAACUUGUAGGAAAUGCAAACCAAAAAUUAAUUAAUACCAGACAUAAAUCUAAUCUAAGUUCAUCUAGGGUAGAGACCACAAAAAUCUGCUCGUUAAGUGCAGGAGAAAGACGCGCAGCAGAGAAUUGCUGGUUUAAAGUCUUGUAGAAAAGGUUUCUCGAAUUGCUGCAUGUGAUACCGAAUCUAAAACAUCCAAUUCAUUUUCAACUGGGGAAACUUUAGAGUGAGCAACCAUUUCAUCCUGGUGAAAUCACAAAUUUAAAGAGAGUGUGCUGAUGUAGAACGUACAAAGGACAUUAACUGACAUACUAUGAUAAACAAAACUAAAUGCUCAAUUCCACCCCACAUUGGUGCGUUUGUUUCAUCCCCAAAACAUGGUAUUGAAUUAAGCCUCCAUUUGCUAUGUUUGAUCUUUGCAUCAGCAAAUAAUAUGUGAUAGAAAGUGAGGAAUACCAAUUUAACAUUAGAAAUUAACCAAAAAGAUUGUUCAGUUUCAUUAAUUGAUAUGGAGCCAUGCAUGGCUUACUAGUGGAAAAGGUUACGAAAUAUUGUGCUUAUUCUCAUUAAUUGAUAAAAUUUACCUGUAACCUUCAAUCAUGAUGAAGUGAUUGAAAGGACUGUCUCUGCAUCCAACUUGGCAGACCUACUCUGUGUUGCUUCAAUUAUGAGUUGAUAUACUGUCAAGGGAAGAGAGGAUUUUCAAGAGUGAGAAGCCUACAGUAAUUACGAGCCAUCAGGGUUCCCGACUGAGCUUUAAGGCUACAGUCACUGCAAAACAGAAAACUCAGAUUCAGGAUUUCACAUAGCAAAUCAUAAGGCUAACUGGAAAUUGCAUGACAUUUUUUUAGUCAAUUAUUCAGAAAGCCAAAUCAGUAUUUGUUUCUGUUGUGCUUUUCUAACCUAAAUCAGUAAGAAGAUAUCAAAAUUUUCUGCUUAGUCUACAAGUACCGGAAGUGCCAUAGAAACUAUAAUAGUUUUUGUUUAAAACACUGAAAAAAGAGAAGUUUUAUAACAAAAUAUUAAAUAUUAUUUUCCUGACGACAAGAUUUCUUUUGUUUUACAUUACCAGUGGUUAAAAGUCAAAAUUGAGUAGUGAAAGACGAGAGGCAUAUCUAAAAUUACCAGAAAUUUUGAACCAAAACAUGAGAGUAAUGACCAACAGCUGCGAAAACUUCGCAAUUUUCCAUUGUAUUCAUGGUUCAAAAGCCAAAAUCAAGGAGAAGUGAGCCAGAAAACCAUCAUAUACGACUCCGAUGGAGCUAUUACCAGUCAAAUAGUUCAGAUAAGUAUGCAAGUUCAUUAUCAAGAGGUAAAAGUUCAGUCCCCUUAGAAUUACAAUUUUAAACAGAGUGAGAUGACUUUAGCAAUAACAGCUUAAAAUCCACAGAAGCAGACCAUGUAAAAUAAACGAGACUAGACUGCUAGUUGUUCUAAACGUUGAUAAACUAUUUGUAGGAAACGCAGGCCAAAAGUUAUUGAGUUCUUCUAGCCAUAUAGACGGUGCUGAAGAAGCUUCAAAAUUCUGACCUCUGUUCGUGAAGCUAUUCUUCUAUCAAUCCUACAAAAACAAAGCAUAGAACAGAAUAUGAACAGGUUAGAAGAGUAUUAUGUUGUAAGGAGUAAAUGAAGAGCACCAAUAUUUUGGACCUGAUAAGAAAUGCUAAUGCCGCAGCUUUGAAAGAUAAUAAAUAGGACGAUAAAAAGGGAGAAGAGAAAAUUGUGAAAAUAACCACGAAAGGGAGACUUUUUUAGGUUUUCUCACGAGAAGGUUAAUCAGAGGGGGAGGUGAAGAGAAGGGGAGAUUGAUUGUAAAGCAAAUUAAGAAAGUGGUUAUUGAAGGCAAUCUUACUUGAUUGAAUUUGAUCCAAAGGUGAAAGUUGGUUAUUAAUCAACUUAUUUCUAGGAGUUGAAUGUGAGAAACUUUGGACCACUGGGAGUCGGGCCGCUGCUCUCAGGAGUGCAUCUUUCUUUUAACAGAGGAGAACCAUAAACCUGCAGAACUUUUAGUUUGGUGAGACUUCUCAUGGCAUCCUCAGAGGGUAGAUGUCGAAGCUCUUUGAAAAACCAUAAGUGCACGUCUUCAAGAGCCGCAAAGUUUCCGAACCAAUCUGGCAGAGCUUUUAUACCUCCAAAGUCAAGUAGCGUUAGUGACGUCAGAGUGGUCAAGUAUUGGAUCUGAUGUGGCAGGGACUCCAUGUGUGGCAACCCAUAUAAUUCUAAUUCACGGAGUGCGGAUGACGAAGAGGAGGAUAUCAAUCCAGACCAAUCAAAUUCAUUGUAAAUUAAAGAAUUUUCAUGAUCAUCACCGUCAUCUGAGAAGGGACCAAUUGUAAGAUCCCUUAAGCUGGUUAGGAAACCAAAUCCUUUGGGCGUCAUGCUUGUUUUCAGUUUGGGACACUUCCGUAAUUCCAGCUCCAUGAGAGAAGGCGUUUGUUGCAAAUCAAGCGGAAAGGAGAUAAGAUUGUCGCAACCAACCACUCGAAGCUUCUGGAGAGAGGCACAAGAGUGUAGCAUGUCACCUGGCAGAUUCGUCAACCCAUUGCAAUUAUAAAUCUGCAGCUCUUUAAGAGACGUAAAGUUUUGCAGGGGAAGGAGUUCUCUACAUCUGUUGCAGCGAUUAAAUUCCAAACACGCUAACUUGGGAGGUGUUGUUGUUGUUGGCAAAUCCAUUAACCAUCGAGGAAAUUGAUUGCCCAUAAAAUACCAAAUUACCAACUCCUCCAAAUUUUGGUGGGGUCGAAGGCCAUCUAACACAUCUUCGUCAUUGUAGUCGUCGCCUUCUCGAACAGGGGCCCACUUAAGUUCCAGCUCAAAUAGAUUAGCCUUUUCAAAUAGAUUUGCUUUUUCAGCUCCUUUUCUAUCCUUCACUAGUUCCAGAUUGCGUAUCCUCAAUUUGCCUUUGAGGUUCUUCAAGCUUCCAAGCUCUCCAAUUCGUCGACCCUUCUCUCGACCCACAUUAAAGAACUCUAGCGUCUGAAGGCAAGUCAGCCUUCCCAUCUCUAGCGGCAUUUGAAAUUCUUCAUUAUCACUUAUGUAAUAGUGGAGAUGUCUCAAGCUAAUCAAAUCGCACAUCCCCUUCGGAAGAUGUUUAACAUCUGAGUCAAUUAGCGUCAAUGUCUGCAGAUUAUAAAGCUUGCAAAGGAGUCCGGCAAAAUACUGAUUGAAGACCACUCAAGGUUAACGUACCGCAAAUGUAUCAGUUUGCCAAUUGAGACUGGUAGCUCUCGAGUUCUUGUACGAGACAAAUUCAAAACAUACAAGUUCUUCAACUUCAUUAACAUAUCACCAGAUAAGUCACCAUUUACGAUGAAUAAUGUAUGAAGCGAAGUUGAUAGACUCUCCAGAAGUUUUUCUCUGUCUUCUCUGCCACCAGAUGAGUCUAUUGCAAGGUAACGAAUCUGAUCACCUUUGUCUGCUACACGUGUAUCCCUAUCAUUAAUGAUUUUGGUAGACUUCGACAUUGACUCUGCAACGUCAUGGACCAGAUCAUGCAUCUUAUAACAUGUUCCCUGAUAAUUUCUUGUUUCUUCAAACAACGAACUUUGCAAUAAAAUUCUCAGAUAAUUCAUUCCAAUUUCCUCCAUCAUCAUUUGGCUGUUGAGAUCUGCUUGGAGGAAACCUUCUGCCAUCCAAAGUUCGAUGAGCAUAUUCCUUUCUAUCUCACUAUCCUUGGGAAAUAUAGAACAAUAUGCAAAACAUUUCUUAAUGUAUGGAGAUGGCAAAUUAUCAAAACUAAACUUCAGUAUUUGCAUCACACGAUCUCCAUCUCCACUCAAAAGCCUAUUCUCCAAAAUUGAUCGCCACUCCUCUUUUCUCUUUAAAGAUAAUAGACCUCCGAUUACACUUGCAGCCAAUGGUAGACCAUCACAUCUUUUGAUUACUCUCUUUUUAAUUGCUUUUAGUUCAUCAGUUUCUUCUUCCCCUCCAACUACUUUUUCUUUUAGGAUAGACCAACAAUGAUCAUCAGGUAGUUUUCUUAAUGGAUAGGCUUCAUUUUCCAUCAUCCUUAAACGAGUAGUGACAAGACACCAAC